GACAAAUUCUGUUGUAAACUCAAAUCUUCUUUGAUCCAUAUACGAUAACAGUACAAACAAUGAAAUACACUAUCAACCAAAGGGCAAUGCAAACGAGUACACGGUUUAUACUACAACUUGUAUACAGUGACAUCAAAAUCAUGUGUUGACACUUCUAUUACGAUGCUUUGCUAUAGACCUCAAGUCUCUGUACAUAUCUGCACAGGCAAGAGAAAAUUCUGACAUUGCCCCGAAAAGCUCAGGUAAGCGGCUUCUCAGGCUUGUCAAAGACUUAUCUCUCACCUGCAGACAUUGCCUCUGGUAUGAGUCCUCCUCGUCCUCCAGCCUCUUCCUCAGCGCCUCUAAUUGUAGCUGCCGAUCGACCACAAGAGUAUCUUCCUGCGCCGAUUCUGGAUCCAUUUCAUCUGGGAUUCUACGCUGCAUAUGCUUGUGAUACCAAUCCUCAUAUUGCCUAGUCUUCUUGUUAAGCUCUCUCCGAGUAUCCUCACACCUGUCCCUCAGCUUCAUCUCCUCCUUUUGGUAUUCAAAGAUAGUAUUUAUGACAGCUGAAAAGUUAUAAAUAGCAGUUCUAGCCAACUCAUCAGGAAGCUUCUCAAGAUCAUCAUGCCAGGCAUGUAUAAGUGCCAAAAUUGGUGGAUUUUGGGGUCUUUGUGGCGAUGAAACCUUUUCUUUCAGAUUUGUGUCUAUAGGGAUGAGAUUUAGCUUUAAC
rnacentral:misc_RNA from 1 species